GAUGAAGAACGUAGCGAAAUGCGAUAAGUAAUGUGAAUUGCAGAAUCCAGUGAAUCAUCGAAUCUUUGAACGCACAUUGCGCCCGCCAGCAUUCUGGCGGGCAUGCCUGUUCGAGCGUCAUUUCAACCCUCGACCUCCCUUUGGGGAAGUCGGCGUUGGGGACCGGCAGCACACCGCCGGCCCUGAAAUGGAGUGGCGGCCCGUCCGCGGCGACCUCUGCGUAGUAAACCAACUCGCACCGGAACCCCGACGUGGCCACGCCGUAAAACACCCAACUUCUGAACGUUGACCUCGAAUCAGGUAGGACUACCCGCUGAACUUAAGCAUAUCAAUAACGGAGGA
rnacentral:misc_RNA from 1 species